UACGGAGGGUGCAAGCGUUAUCCGGAUUCACUGGGUUUAAAGGGUGCGUAGGUGGGUCUGUAAGUCAGUGGUGAAAUCUCCGGGCUUAACCCGGAAACUGCCAUUGAUACUAUAGGUCUUGAAUUUUCUGGAGGUGAGCGGAAUAUGUCAUGUAGCGGUGAAAUGCUUAGAUAUGACAUAGAACACCAAUUGCGAAGGCAGCUCGCUACAGGAAUAUUGACACUGAGGCACGAAAGCGUGGGGAGCAAACAGG
rnacentral:rRNA from 1 species